CAUUUUGGCAACCAACUUCUCUAACAAUUAACACAAACAAAAACCAAACCCAGAAACAAAAAUUAGUGGCGUCUUCUUCAUAAUCAUCAAUGGACGACAAAGCAUUUUCAGAGAGAGUAAAAAAAACAUUUGGAUCUUUAUUCGCAACCCUUGAACCAUCUCCAUCAUCUCUUUCAAAUCCACUUUGGUCUCUUACAGAUGCGCAAGUUGAGAAGAAAGAAUGGCGUCGUGAUAAAGACACCUCUGCUAGAGAUGCUAACCCUUGUUCUUCUUCUUUUGAUGAUUUUAUCUCUCAUGCCCGUAAAAAUUCCCGUAAAAAUCUUAAGAAUUAUCGUAAGGAGUUUAAGGAAGAUGAACUUCAAGAUCUUGAUAUUGAUGAAGAUGAAGAUGAUGAAGAAGGUGGGAAAGUUGAUGUGAAUGAUUGGGAUGUGAAAGGUUCAAUUGGGUUGGAUUCUACUCUUGAUAAUGAGGCAGAAGAAGAUGAUUUUGACAAAGUUGCCGUAGGAAGGGAGAAUGCUGGUGACCGUUUGUAUAUGGGAGACAUUAUUGGUAGACAUGAUUCUCAUUUAAGCUCUCAGGAUGACCUCCUUGCUGCUGUUGGGAGCAGUGGAAGGGAUCCUCGUGCUAAUCGUUUUGCUGCAAGGAUUAGACUGAAAGAAGAUGAUGUAGAAGCAUCUGCACAACACAAACCUAGGCAGUCCCCUGCAACAUCUGAAAAAUAUUGUUCUAUGUCAGCAGAUGGCAGCGAAAAGCUGAAGCCUAUACUUAAAAGGAAGGAGCAUGACUCGGGUUCAAAGCCAUCGAAACGUGUCAGAUUCGACCCUGUAUGCAUAAGCAAUGCUGAGAGAGCUGAAGAACUUCCGAGUAAUAAUACUUCUGUGGAAACCACAACCCAAGUUGAUGGGUCUUUGUUAGAUGAGAAAGUUUCUGGGGUCCCAGGUUAUGCGCGAAAUCCUUCCAGUUACACGCGGUAUAGUCUUGAUUCUUCUGAUGAAAUGAGCGAUAAGUCAAAUACAGGUGCUUACUUGGACUUUGUUGAGAUGGUGAAUAAGGAAAAGCAGGGCGGAUCAGGAUCUGACUCAGAUGUUGAUGCUAAUCUCCCGAAAUCAAUAACGUUUGUUCCAAAGAAAAAGUCAGAGACUUCUAAAGGUGAUCAUAGUGAAUCAGGUCAAGAAAAAGAAAGUGAUGUGAAGUGUCCCUCGUUUCAAUCAACCUUUCUGGAUGUGGCAGUCGAAGAGCAAGAGACUGAAGUUGGGGACAUGGAAGUUGAUGAGCCUGAAAGAAGUGAAGAGCCUGACCAAGGCAUCACAUUUAGAAAACAGGGUCGCCAGUAUCGGAAGUCCCAGGCAGAUGAGCCUUCCUAGACUGUUGCUCGUUAGUUUCCCUUUAUAACUUCUGCUAGCUCUCUACACCCUUUGGUGAACAUGUGGGCUCAUUCAUGGACCGGUUUUUCCAAAAACUAUGAAAAACUGAGCUGUCGGGUGUACCGGUGUAUACACCUGGUGAUUUCCCUACCCCAAGUCCCCAACGAGGCAACUGGUGCCUGCUUGGCGGUAGAAGGCUGAUCUACAUGGAAUGCAUGCUGUAUUGAUAUACGAUUAGUGAUCCAUUGACAGGACUACACAAGUUUGGUAGCUAAGUGCUAUGUAGAAUUUGACGUGGAAACUACAUCUGUUUAUUUUCAUUUGCUAUAAUUAUUCAGAAGAAUUUGUUACAGACAAGUAUGGCAAAUUCUGAGAGUUUACAGGAAGCCUGCUUUCACCUGCAUUUUCACCCUGCGGAUCGUGUAGCGUCGCUAAGUUAUACUCCCUAGUAAGGCUACUGGCAUUUUACACUAUAUACAAGCUUCAUAGUAAAAACACUGGGAACUUUGAUCUGAAUUCCCAAAACAGGUGUUAUCGCCUCUUACGGAUUCGCACACAAUAGGCUGAAUAGGAUGGACACAAGUUAUCCUUGAGAUAAAAUGGUGUCAUCAGGUAUGAUGUAUUUGUUGUUUGGAUAUAGAAAUGUGUGUUAUCAGCAGAAUCAUUCUUUGUUAAUCUCAUUAUUCAUGAUUUAACUA